rnacentral:rRNA from 12 species
GAACCAGUACCGUGAGGGAAAGGCGAAAAGAACCCCUGUGAGGGGAGUGAAAUAGAACCUGAAACUAUGUGCUUACAAGCGGUCAGAGCCCGCAAGGGUGAUGGCGUGCCUUUUGGAGAAUGAUCCUGCGAGUUACGUUCAGUGGCAAGGUUAAGUUUAACGGAGCCGAAGGGAAACCGAGUCUGAACAGGGCGAUUUUAGUCGCUGGGCGUAGACGCGAAACCUGGUGAUCUAAGCCUGUCCAGGGUGAAGCUGUGGUAAGACACAGUGGAGGCCCGAACUCACCGCCGUUGAAAAGUUGGGAGAUGAGGUAGGUUUAGGGGUGAAAAGCCAAUCGAACUAGGAGAUAGCUCGUUCUCUCCGAAAUGCAUUUAGGUGCAGCCUUGAGUGUUUAAUUAUGGGGGUAGAGCACUGAAUGGACUAGGGGGCGCAUUGCUUACUGAAUCCAAUCAAACUCCGAAUACCAUAAUUCAAGAGCUCAGGAGUGAGACUAUGGGAAUUAACUUCCAUCGUCAAAAGGGAAACAACCCAGACCACCAGCUAAGGUCCCUAAUCAUAACUAAGUGGGAAAGGAGGUGGAGAUUCAUAAACAACCAGGAGGUUGGCUUAGAAGCAGCCAUACCUUUAAAGAGUGCGUAAUAGCUCACUGAUCGAGUAAACCUGCGCCGAAAAUGACAGGGACUAAGUAAUUUGCCGAAGCUGUGCGAUAUACAAGUUAUAUCGGUAGGGGAGCGUUCUGUUGUAGAUUGAAGUAUUAGCGAAAGCGGAUAUGGACGAAGCAGAAGUGAGAAUGUCGGCUUGAGUAACGAAAAUAUAGGUGAGAAUCCUAUACCCCGAAAACCCAAGGUUUCCUUCGGAAGGCUCGUCCGCGAAGGGUUAGUCAGGGCCUAAGGCGAGGCUGAAAAGCGUAGUCGAUGGAUAACGGGUUAAUAUUCCCGUACCAUUUUUUAUUUGAUAACGAGGGACGGAGAAGGCUAAGCUGGCCGGAUGUUGGUUACCGGUUUAAACGUUCGAGAUGUUGAGAAGUGGCGAAAACACUUUGAGUUGAGGCGUGAAUACGAGAUACUAAGGUAUUGAAGCAGUGUAUGUCAGACUUCCAAGAAAAGCUCGCAAUGUCUUUAAAUAAAAAAUGCCUGUACCAUAACCGACACAGGUGGGUAGGUAGAGUAUACUAAGGGGCGCGAGAUAACUCUCUCUAAGGAACUCGGCAAAAUAACUCCGUAACUUCGGAAGAAGGAGUGCCUUAUUAUGUAAGGCUGCAAUAACAAGAUCCAAGCAACUGUUUAUCAAAAACACAGGUCUCCGCUAAGUCGUAAGACGAAGUAUGGGGGCUGACGCCUGCCCAGUGCCAGAAGGUUAAAGAAGUUGGUUAGGUUAAACGAAGCUAAUAACUGAAGCCCUGGUGAACGGCGGCCGUAACAAUAACGGUCCUAAGGUAGCGAAAUUCCUUGUCGGGUAAGUUCCGACCUGCACGAAUGGUGUAAUGAUUUGAGCGCUGUCUUGACGGGAGGCCUGGUGAAAUUGUAUUACCGGUGAAGAUACCGGUUACCUACAGUAGGACGGAAAGACCCCAUGGAGCUUUACUGUAGCUUGGUAUUGGGUUUUGGCAUUGCAUGUAUAGGAUAGUUGGGAAACUAUGAAGGUGUGGCGCUAGCUGCACUGGAGUUGUCGGUGGAAUACCAACCAUUCAAUGUUGAAAUUCUAAUCUGUGGUUUGGAGCCACGGAGACAGUGCUAGGUGGGCAGUUUGACUGGGGCGGUCGCCUCCCAAAUGGUAACGGAGGCGUACAAAGGUUUCCUCAGAUCGGUCAGAAAUCGAUCGUAGAGUGUAAAGGCAUAAGGAAGCUUGACUGUGAGACCUACAAGUCGAGCAGGGACGAAAGUCGGUCUUAGUGAUCUGACGGUACUGAGUGGAAAGGCCGUCACUCAACGGAUAAAAGUUACUCUAGGGAUAACAGGCUGAUCUCCCCCAAGAGUUCACAUCGACGGGGAGGUUUGGCACCUCGAUGUCGGCUCAUCGCAUCCUGGGGCGGUAGUACGUCCCAAGGGUUGGGCUGUUCGCCCAUGAAAGCGGUACGCGAGCUGGGUUCAGAACGUCGUGAGACAGUUCGGUCCAUAUCCGGUGUAGGCGUUAGAAUAUUGAGAGGAGCCUUCUUUAGUACGAGAGGACCGAGAAGGACAUACCUAUGGUGUACCAGUUAUCAUGCCAAUGGUAAACGCUGGGUAGCUAUGUAUGGAGUGGAUAACCGCUGAAAGCAUCUAAGUGGGAAGCCCACCUCGAGAUGAGUAUUCUCAUCACGAAAGUGAGUAAGGUCACGGCAAGACUAGCCGUUCGAUAGGCAUCAAGUGUAAGUAUAGUAAUAUAUGUGCUGAGAUGUUCUAACAGACCGA